rnacentral:rRNA from 1 species
UACGGAGGGUGUAAGCGUUAUCUGGAAUCAUUGGGUUUAAAGGGUCCGCAGGCGGUCUUAUAAGUCAGUGGUGAAAGCCUACAGCUCAACUGUAGAACUGCCAUUGAUACUGUAAGACUUGAAUUCGAUCGAAGUGGGCGGAAUAUGACAUGUAGCGGUGAAAUGCUUAGAUAUGUCAUAGAACACCGAUAGCGAAGGCAGCUCACUAGGUCUGGAUUGACGCUCAGGGACGAAAGCGUGGGGAGCAAACAGG